CACCACCACCACCACAUCAGGAUGGUGCGGACAUCCACUAUGUGAAUGAUUUUUUUGUUCGAGAUACGGAGUUGGGAGAAGACCGGACUCUUCUCGGCAUCGUUAGAAAUGCUGCUUUCGACACGGCGCUUCGGAAGGCCAAAGCAGUUGCUGCCGACGUUCUGAACUGGAGCUUCAUGCGCGGUGGGAUAGCAUAUCUUCAGUACGGUGAUCUGCAACGGCUCAUGGAUGAGCGCUUAGAGCAAGCCUUGUCCUGUUAAAAAAAAAAA